rnacentral:lncRNA from 1 species
AAAACUUUUUUUUUUUUUUUUUAGUUUGAGGCCUAUGUGUGACUGGAAGCAUUGAUCAGAAGCAGCUCAUUGUGCUGAAGAAUCUGACGAUUUCUCUCCUUGGUUUCUGGACAUGAUCAUGUUGACAUGGGAUCUACUGGAUUAAUUCAACCAGCUUGUCUCUUUUUAGAAUGGCAGUGAUAUAGCCCAGGUCUGCAGGACCCUGCACCCAGGAACCUGCUUAUACCCAGUGGCAGGGCUGGGCUCCCCUUUGGCCCCUCCGCUCAGACCUGGGCAGGGUGCAUAGUUAAGACAUUUGGUCAACUUCUCCCUUGGGGACACGAACGCAGGCUGUCUAAAAACACACCCACCACCUCAACCACUGUGCAAACAAAGCAGGAUAUUGGUUUCUUCAACUCCAAUGUGUUUUGCCAAAUAAGAGAGUGUUAAUACCCCUUCCUCCCCCACUCUGCAUGAAUUGGAUUACUUAAAGCAUCUUUUCAGAGACGUCAGCAGUUUAACAGAGGCAAUAAGUCAGGGCUGCCCUUGUGUUUUAUUUUUCUGCCAGUAUUUAGUUAAUUAAAGAAUGCAAAUUAAAACACCUUAAUUUAUAUAAUAUCAAUACCAACGCCUUAAAACAUUUGGCAUAACUGCUCUGGCACGUCCCUUACAUAAACUCUUCAGAGCAGUGCUAAUAAAAAUGAAAAAGGUUGUAAAUCAAAUUUAAUUUAUUCAUCUUCUGUUUGGUACAAAAGCAUAUGCCAAAAUCAAGUUAUUUAUGAGCACAUCACAAUAACAGGCAUUUUUGUUGGUUGCAAAUGACAAAAAAGGUUUUUUCCAAGGGAUGUGUGUUUUAAUUGUCUCUAGGUGCAGCUGUUUUCUGGGCUCUGAUCUCUAAAAUUUAUAACUUUACAACCCUAUCUUCAAAAUAAAAAAAGCAGAGAUUGCCACCUCCGCUCGAAAAGUCACCUGCACCCAUCCGUAUGGAGAGAGACGUAUACACCAUCCGUCCAAUGGAGUAUGGAUCUUCAGAUCUUCUGGAUCAAUACAGCAAGUGCAUUGAGACUGUAGCAACACAUUUAAAACCUUAUAAAAGGUUAUUUAGUUGCUAACAGUGCAGUGGUUUCUGCAAAGCCUGCCAAAAGGUUACAGCUUUUUGGGGAUCAUAAAUUACAGACGACAGGAAAAAAGUAAGUGCGGUUUUCUUUAUUGUCUCGAUGAUGGAUGGACUCCUGAACAGGGCA